GUGCUUGUGUCGGCAGCACAUAUACUAAAAUUGGAACGCUACAGAGAUUAGCAUGGCCCCUGCCCAAGGAGGACACACAAAUUCAUGAAGCAUUUCCAUAUUUU
ensembl:snRNA U6 U6 spliceosomal RNA